AACGAACGCUGGCGGCAGGCCUCAAACAUGCAAGUCUAGGGGGUGUAGCAAUACAUCACCGGCGGACGGGUGCGUAACACGUGGGAAUAUACCUUUUGGUUCGGAACAACGCAGGGAAACUUGCGCUAAUACCGAAUGUGCCCUUACGGGGAAAGAUUUAUCGCCAAAGGAUUAGCCCGCGUAGGAUUAGCUAGUUGGUGAGGUAAUGGCUCACCAAGGCUCCGAUCCUUAGCUGUUCUGAGAGGAAGAUCAGCCACACUGGGACUGAGACACGGCCCAGACUCCUACGGGAGGCAGCAGUUGGGAAUCUUGGACAAUGGGGGAAACCCUGAUCCAGCCAUGCCGCGUGAGUGAUGAAGGCCUUCGGGUUGUAAACUCUUUCGACGGGGACGAUAAUGACGGUACCCGUAGAAGAGCUCCGGCUAACUUCGUGCCAGCAGCCGCGGUAA
rnacentral:rRNA from 1 species